UCCGAACUUCCCUCUCUCUCUCCAAAAUUUCCAAAUCUCUCUCUGGUUUACAUUAAAAACUCCAAGCCGAUUUCUAGGGUUUUUGAUUUCUCGCUUCGAAUUGUAGAACUAGGAUUUGAAAUGAAACACGAGAGUAGCACCGGAAUGGGGUUCGAUUUGACGGAAGAUAAAACGGCGAUGGAGCCGAUUCCACACACUGCAGCCACUUCAUGAACUAUUCGCGUUCAAUUGGGCUGUCGAUCUCUCCAAAUACCUACUGGAGAUUUACUCCGGCGAGGUCGCCAAUCUCUCCGAGGAUGCUUUGCUGAUUCAGGGCUCCAUUCACUCACUGGUUAUUCUUCUGCAUGCCUCGGAGUUCAUUUCGCUCGCAGAACAGAACAGAGGCUUCUCGUUUCCAACGCAGGCCGAACCGAGAGAAUGCUGAGGCGAUCAAGGCCGUUUUGAAGUACAAAAAGAGGUUUACGCCUGAGCUGCUAGACUACCAGGCAACCAACUGUACCACAAUCCAGAAAAAAAACAAGGCUUGCUGCAUCUUUUUUUGAUUUCGAUACUGAAACUGACACACCUCUUGUCCCUCUAGUCGCAAACCGCUAUCGCGGCCAAAGCUUGCUUUUUUAGAGGACACCUUCUCAUGUCCCUAGUUUCACAGGGGUGGGUCAAUGUCGAAAAGGAGAGUGCUGGUGGAUCUAGAAGCUGGGGUUUUUGGUUCUUCUGACGCUCUGGAGGCUUUUUUAGUCAAGGCCGAACAAAAGAGCCUUAUGGACGUAAAACUGGAGAUAGGGGCUUCCGGCCUUUCUGCCGUUGCUACCAAACUCUCUACUUCAAUCACUGAAAUGGUGAAGAAGAGAAGAAGGGAGACUGGUAAGGCCAUAAUUGGAGAAGCUUCUAAGGAUCCUGUUGAGGAUGAGUCAUUUGAGAAGUGAGAGCCGCCUAUGUUGCAUCAAGGCAGACUUAUUUCUAUUUCUGAUUCGGUUGUUGCUUCUGGAGACUUUGCUUUUGACCUAACCAAGACUUUGUCGAUGUCAGUAGACAUGUGGGGUCACAAUGGGCCUCGUGAUAUUCUGAUCCUGAAGGGAACCCUUCAAAUGAUGGUUGCUUGUAACCAAAUGAUGCAUCUGUCCAUCACCCAAGUUAAAGAAUUGGAGAGGGUCGUAUUGGAGGCCGCUAUGGAUGUCGAAAGGCUGACGGCAAAUUUGGAGGUCGAAAAGGAAGGCAGAAAGGGAAUCGCCUGAACAAGGUUGUCGCCUUUGCUGAAAAAUCAAAAGAGGCUGCUAUUAGGGUUCAGGCCUAACUUGAGAGCAAGGUUGCUGAACUGGAGACGAUUAUAGUAGUUAUAGCCGCUAAAUGUUUGACUUUGAAGGCUAAGCACUAGCAGCAGGGCUGGGACGAAGCUGAAGCCGCUUAUAAAGAAAAAGUGUUGAUGCUGCGCGACAAGUUUUUUCUUAAAGACUGGACGAGUAACCUUGCUGUUGCUUAGAUUCCUGAAGAAUCCUCCUUGUUUUAGAAUGUUCUUGUUCCCUCGAAGUCCUCGAGUUUGAAGACCAAUACUACCCCUGUUACUCCUUUACAAAGAUUCCUUCAGAGACUGAUGCUGCAAGUAAGAUUCCGGAAAGUGGUGUUGUUAAUGAAACAGUGGAUGCUGAAAGGGAUGAAAACCUAGAGACUGAAGUUGUGGGAAACGUGGUUAAGGAGUUUUCUGCUUCUCAGGAAGCUGGAGCUACCUUUACUUUUCCUUCCCAAGAUGAUGUGAACCAAACUAUGAAUGUUGUCCCUGAAGUUCCUCCUACUGAUGAGAGUUAGAGUGGUUUUCAUCUGAAAAGACUUGAAGUUUAUUUUACACAUUUUUCCUUUCCUUCUCGUUUUCUUGAUGUACUGGAGCUCGGUCUUCCUGACGAGUUGCCCCCUGAUGCAUGCUAAGACAAUUUUUCUUUUUUUACUUUUUUUGUUGUGGCCAGUUGUGUCUUUUGUUGGAUGAUGAAAUUCGUCUUUUAGACCUUGCAAUCGGCUGUUUAAUGUUUAUGUUAUUUAUGCUGUUUGCCCCUGGCCAAGCAUUGUUGGGACUGAAGGGUCGAAUAAAUGCUCAGUCUGGUUUAUUUGACAUGCUGCAGGGUUGUGCUUGACUUGCAAUGAGAGUGUCUUACAUAGGUCUAGGUUGAUUCCAAGAAAACAAUCGUUUGCCCCCACCUGGAGCUAAGUAAGAUUGGUACUGAAGAUCUGUUCUUUGUGGCAGAACUGUUUGAGUCUGUUCCAACUCUUGAAGUCUUAUUCAGGUCCAGGUUUGGUCUUUGAGAAACAAUUGGUUGCCCUCACCUAGAGUUAAAUAAGGCUGAUGCUGGAAGUUUGGUGCUGAAAGAAUGAUCCAACUCUGGGUGCAUGCAGUAGUAUUGAAGCGAUUUCACCAAGCAAUUCCACUUGGUUAAAGUCCAUUUAAAAAAAUGAUUAUUUGAAAAAUACGUUAGUGCGGUUUCCACCAAGCAAUUCCACUUGGCUAAGGUCUGUUUUAGUUGCCAAACAUAAUUUCACCAAGCAAUUCCAGAUGGCAUGUUUGAGCGCUAACUAAAACUAAAUUUCGUUCGCUCGCUCCAAAACUAGGUCCGUUUGGGUAAAACCAAAGCUAAAUCCGUUUGAUAAACAUCAAAACUAAUUCCGUUUGAUAAACAUCAAAGCUAAUUCUGUUUGAUAAACACCAAAG